AGAGUGGUCCUUCUUCUUCUUCAUCCGCUCUUCUUCUUUUUGUGUAUAACAUUUUCUCUCUCUUUAUUUGAUUUUUAAUUUUUGCGGUGACAGUAAAGUAAUGUAAGUCCUGUCAUGUUUUUCCACAGCUUUCUUGAACUUUCCUCCUAUUUUCCUCUUAGAUACCAUCUAUGGGCUAUGGCGUAUUCUUCUUCUUCUUUCUCAAGGAAAGUUCAAGAAAGCUGUGGGAAACUAUGGCGUCUUUAGGACUUUUUUGCUCCCUUUUCUUUCUCUAUUUUUGCUCCUUCUUUCUAAUUGCUUUCAGCCUCAGAAAGAAGAUUCUCAACCUUUUUCUUUUGUACCCAGAUCAGAGAUGAUGAUGUUAAUCAUAUGUCUCUACUUCUCUUUUAUGUUCCUAUCAGGUAAGUAUUUCAUUUUUAUUAAUUAGAAAAAAAAAUGGAAAAUUAAUUAAAACUUAGCAUUUGUUAAUGCUUAAUUUUUUUGUGGAUUCCUAUAUAUAUGAAGCUUAUACAUGUGUUGUUGGGUAUUUCUUUAUCAUUUUUGAUUUAAUCCAUUAAAUUAAAUACUUAUAAUGCGAUGAAUUUUUCUAGAAAUGAUAAAGUGAUUAACAAAGUUUUUGUGCCUCUUAUUUUACGUCAUUUUUUAUUUAAUUAAUUUAUCUCAAUAAUUUUACAUUUUUUUUUACAAGAGUCCCACUCUUAUUUUUUUAAUUAUAACUAUAAAUUUAUACUCUCUCGAUCUUAAAUAUUCAUUUUUAUAUAUCGUCCUUUUGUAUUUUGUCUCAUUUUUCAAUCCAAUUUUUCUCAUUUUAGAUUAAGCGCAAAAUGAAAGGAAUAAAGGGACUAAUAACUCUUUUAUCAAAUUAAUAGAAAAAAUUAUUAAAAAAAAACUAAUUUAUUCAAGAUACUUUAUAGAAUAUUAACCUUUUGUUUUUUUAUUUUUUAGAAAAUAAAUCACAAUAUUUAUGAGUUAUGAUUUCUACUUUUAUAUGCACAUGUAGUGGUUGAACAAAUUGUUGAUUGCCAAAUUGAAUUAAUGUACAACUAAAUACUUUAUAGCAUUAGAUUAGAAUUUUAGUGCAUUAGUUAUGUUAAAUGAUAACAUAGUACUAUUGAUAAUUAAUUGUUCAAUUGCCUUGUUACAUUCUUCUAAAUUAAACAUGAAUUUUGAAAUUUAUUUAAUGAAUAGAUAUUUAAAUUUUUUUUUCUUUUCAAAAUGAAUCUUGUGAAACUAUACUUUGAAUGAAAACUACCUAACUUCAUAAAAUAAUUUCCCAUGGGAUGAAAGAAUAUACCUUUAAUACCAUAACGAAUAUAAAUAUUUGUUUUUAUAUAUUUCUUCGAUGUUCUGGUUAAUUUUUUAAUUAAGGCGCUAAUGCAAUAAAUUAGUUAUGUUAGAGAUGCUAAUCUUAGCUUAAUUGUGCUCAAUAAUUGAGAUUGAAGGAGUAGAUUGAAUUACCAUAAGUGUACAAAAUGUUGAUUAUGAUUAAGAUGUGUAAGAUGCAAAAAUGGUCCCAAAAAAAAGGGCUUGAAUUUGAUGAUGAUAUGGUGGGGGGGCAUAUGAACACAUGACACCCAUGAAUCUCAAUAAUUCUUACUGAUCAUCUACUGCUAGCUAUCAGUUUUGUGCUUCUCUGCCAGAGAAAUUGGGACUGUUUGCUCCAGAUAACCAUGAAAGGUCAUUUGCCAAUGACAUUAAUUCAACCGUCACGGAUACUUCUGUUGCUUCCUCUAUCUCGUCACUCAAACUAAGUACCUAUCUUCCUUGUUUUGGAUCAAUUUUCACCUUGCCUAUCAACAAUGAAAAAAAAAAAAAAACCUUAUAUGGACCGGUCUGGUCCACACUAUUUUCCUAUGAUUUAACUUGAAAAUAUUAUAAUUUUUAUAUGAUUGUAAUUGAUUGUACUUGUAAAGUGGAAAAACUUACUAUUUUUAAUUUAUACCUUUUAAAGUUAGUAUAUUCUAAAUUAAUAUUUUCUC